AACGAACGCUGGCGGCGUGCCUAAUACAUGCAAGUCGAGCGCAGGAAACUGACGGAACUCUUCGGAGGGAAGGCAGUGGAAUGAGCGGCGGACGGGUGAGUAACACGUAAGGAACCUGCCUCAAGGAUUGGGAUAACUCCGAGAAAUCGGAGCUAAUACCGGAUAGUUCAUCGGACCGCAUGGUCCGUUGAUGAAAGGCGCUCCGGCGUCACCUUGAGAUGGCCUUGCGGUGCAUUAGCUAGUUGGUGGGGUAACGGCCCACCAAGGCGACGAUGCAUAGCCGACCUGAGAGGGUGAGCGGCCACACUGGGACUGAGACACGGCCCAGACUCCUACGGGAGGCAGCAGUAGGGAAUCUUCCACAAUGGACGAAAGUCUGAUGGAGCAACGCCGCGUGAGUGAUGAAGGUUUUCGGAUCGUAAAACUCUGUUGUAAGGGAAGAACACGUACGAGAGGAAAUGCUCGUACCUUGACGGUACCUUACGAGAAAGCCACGGCUAACUACGUGCCAGCAGCCGCAGUAACAC
rnacentral:rRNA from 1 species